UGGGUCUAAUACCGGAUAUGACCUUACAUCGCAUGGUGUUUGGUGGAAAGAUUUAUCGGUGCGAGAUGGGCCCGCGGCCUAUCAGCUUGUUGGUGGGGUAAUGGCCUACCAAGGCGACGACGGGUAGCCGGCCUGAGAGGGCGACCGGCCACACUGGGACUGAGACACGGCCCAGACUCCUACGGGAGGCAGCAGUGGGGAAUAUUGCACAAUGGGCGAAAGCCUGAUGCAGCGACGCCGCGUGAGGGAUGACGGCCUUCGGGUUGUAAACCUCUUUCGACAGGGACGAAGCGCAAGUGACGGUACCUGUAGAAGAAGCACCGGCCAACUACGUGCCAGCAGCCGCGGUAAUACGUAGGGUGCGAGCGUUGUCCGGAAUUACUGGGCGUAAAGAGCUUGUAGGCGGCUUGUCGCGUCGAUCGUGAAAACUUGGGGCUCAACCCCAAGCUUGCGGUCGAUACGGGCAGGCUUGAGUACUUCAGGGGAGACUGGAAUUCCUGGUGUAGCGGUGAAAUGCGCAGAUAUCAGGAGGAACACCGGUGGCGAAGGCGGGUCUCUGGGAAGUAACUGACGCUGAGAAGCGAAAGCGUGGGUAGCGAACAGGAUUAGAUACCCUGGUAGUCCACGCCGUAAACGGUGGGUACUAGGUGUGGGUUUCCUUCCACGGGAUCCGUGCCGUAGCUAACGCAUUAAGUACCCCGCCUGGGGAGUACGGCCGCAAGGCUAAAACUCAAAGGAAUUGACGGGGGCCCGCACAAGCGGCGGAGCAUGUGGAUUAAUUCGAUGCAACGCGAAGAACCUUACCUGGGUUUGACAUACACCGGAAACCUGCAGAGAUGUAGGCCCCCUUGUGGUCGGUGUACAGGUGGUGCAUGGCUGUCGUCAGCUCGUGUCGUGAGAUGUUGGGUUAAGUCCCGCAACGAGCGCAACCCUUAUCUUAUGUUGCCAGCGCGUAAUGGCGGGGACUCGUGAGAGACUGCCGGGGUCAACUCGGAGGAAGGUGGGGACGACGUCAAGUCAUCAUGCCCCUUAUGUCCAGGGCUUCACACAUGCUACAAUGGCCGGUACAGAGGGCUGCGAUACCGUGAGGUGGAGCGAAUCCCUUAAAGCCGGUCUCAGUUCGGAUCGGGGUCUGCAACUCGACCCCGUGAAGUUGGAGUCGCUAGUAAUCGCAGAUCAGCAACGCUGCGGUGAAUACGUUCCCGGGCCUUGUACACACCGCCCGUCACGUCAUGAAAGUCGGUAACACCCGAAGCCGGUGGC
rnacentral:rRNA from 1 species